rnacentral:rRNA from 1 species
UACGGGGGGGGUAAGCGUUGUUCGGAAUUACUGGGCGUAAAGGGCUCGUAGGCGGCCAACUAAGUCAGACGUGAAAUCCCCAGGCUUAACUUGGGAACUGCGUCCGAUACUGGAUGGCUUGAAUCCGGGAGAGGGAUGCGGAAUUCCAGGUGUAGCGGUGAAAUGCGUAGAUAUCUGGAGGAACACCGGUGGCGAAGGCGGCAUCCUGGACCGGUAUUGACGCUGAGGCGCGAAAGCUAGGGUAGCGAACGGG